CAUGUCUUUUUGAGUAUUUUAAAAGGUCUGGUCUGCCCAAUGAACAUUUAAAUGGCCGCGAUACUUUGAUCGUGCAAAGGUAGCAUAAUAAUUUGUUUCUUAAUUAGAAGCUGGGAUGAAGGAUUGCAUGAGAAAAGAGCUGUCUCAGAGGUUGAGUUAGAAUUUUACUUUUGAGUUAAAAGGCUUAAAUGUAUCUAAAAGACGAGAAGACCCUAUAGAGUUUUAUAGUUAAUUAUUUUCUUGGUUAUAAAGGAUUGUUUUAUCAGUUAUUUUUUAACUAUUUGGUUGGGGUGACCGAAAAAUUUUUAAACUUUUUCUUUUUGAAAUACUUAUUAGUAGAUUUUUGAGUCAUUGGGUUGAAUUAAAAGAUUAAAUUACCUUAGGGAUAACAGCGUUAUCUUUUUAGAGAGUUCUUAUCGAUAAAAAGGUUUGCGACCUCGAUGUUGGAUUAAAGUUUGUUUUUGGUGCAAAAGUCAAAGGGCUUAGUCUGUUCGACUAUUAAAACUUUACAUGAUCUGAGU
rnacentral:rRNA from 1 species